UUUCCGUAGGUGAACCUGCGGAAGGAUCAUUAAAAAAUGUGGUACCAAUUAUUGGUACUAAUUAAUCAUCCUACCCUUUGUGAAUUUGUUUGUAUGAAUUUUUUUUAAAUGGGUCUUUCCCUAAGUUGGAUUGUUAGUAAAAUACAAAAAGACUUAGGGGAAUGACUUUUUUAAAAGACUUUUUUUUUAAAUUAAAACUUUUUGUAUUCAUUUGUCUAAAAUUUAUUUUUAUAAUAUAAAAACAACUUUUGACAAUGGAUCUCUUGGUUCUCGCAAACGAUGAAGAACGCAGCAAAAUGCGAUAAGUAGUGUGAAUUGCAGAAUACGUGAAUCAUCGAAUCUUCGAACGCAUAUUGCACUUUUUUAGUUUACUAAAAAAGUAUGUCUGUUUGAGUAUCAGUAAAAUAUUCUCACAAACAUAUAUUGUUUGUGGUAAUGAGUGUUUUACAACGAUAAACAAGUUGUUUCACUUUAAAUUCUUUUUAAUUGAAUUUUUACCAAUUCAUAAAUUAAAAUUGGAUAAAAUUUUCCUUUAACGAGGAAUAACCUAAACAAUUUUAAAUUUUUUGGAUUAUAAAAUUCAUCAAAGGAAUCUAUUAUACAUAAAUAACUUGAUCUCAAAUCAGAUAAGAGUACCCGCUGAACUUAAGCAUAUCAAUAAGCGGAGGAAAAGAAACUAACAAGGAUUCCCUUAGUAACGGCGAGUGAAGCGGGAAGAGCUCAAAUUUGAAAUCUUCAAGGUUUGACCUUGACGAAUUGUAGUUCAUAGAAGUGUUUUCUGUUGGAGUUUUGGUAAAAGUUCUUUGGAAUAGGACAUCAUAGAGGGUGAGAAUCCCGUAUUUGACCAUGACUUUCCAGCUGUGUGAUACACUUUCAAAGAGUCGGAUUGUUUGGGAAUGCAGUCCAAAAUGGGUGGUAAAUUUCAUCUAAAGCUAAAUAUUGGCGAGAGACCGAUAGCGAACAAGUACCGUGAGGGAAAGAUGAAAAGAACUUUGAAAAGAGAGUUAAACAGUACGUGAAAUUGUCAAAAGGGAAGCGUUUGACACCAGUGUUGUUUUCUCGAAAAUCAAUUUAAUGAGUUCUUGUUUUUAAGUUAUUGUGACUUUAUCAGCGCAUUUCUUAUUUUACUUGACUCAUUGAAUGCACUUUUCGUUUAAACAAGUCAACAUCAAUUUCUUUGGUGGUAAAAAGUUUAAAGGAAGGUGGCUUGGACUUCGGUUCAAGUGUUUAUAGCCUUUUUUCUAUGCCAUCGGAGAGAUUGAGGUCUGCAGCGUAGAUCCUUCGGGGUUAGAUACCUUUGUGCUAAGUUAUAGUUUUUUAUAGACAACUUGUUGACUAUAAUUAACCCUGUAAUUUACUCGCUUAGGCUAUUU
rnacentral:misc_RNA from 1 species